rnacentral:rRNA from 1 species
CCUACGGGGGGCUGCAGUAGGGAAUAUUGGACAAUGGGGGCAACCCUGAUCCAGCCAUGCCGCGUGUGUGAAGAAGGCCCUCGGGUUGUAAAGCACUUUCAGUGAGGAAGAACGCCUGGUGGUUAAUACCCAUCAGGAAAGACAUCACUCACAGAAGAAGCACCGGCUAACUCCGUGCCAGCAGCCGCGGUAAUACGGAGGGUGCGAGCGUUAAUCGGAAUUACUGGGCGUAAAGCGCGCGUAGGUGGCUUGAUAAGCCGGUUGUGAAAGCCCCGGGCUCAACCUGGGAACGGCAUCCGGAACUGUCAAGCUAGAGUGCAGGAGAGGAAGGUAGAAUUCCCGGUGUAGCGGUGAAAUGCGUAGAGAUCGGGAGGAAUACCAGUGGCGAAGGCGGCCUUCUGGACUGACACUGACACUGAGGUGCGAAAGCGUGGGUAGCAAACAGGAUUAGAUACCCGUGUAGUC